AAAGAAAGGGCUGUAACCACUAA
rnacentral:piRNA from 1 species